rnacentral:misc_RNA from 1 species
GCAGAAUCCACCAAGAGUUAGCAAUGCUCAAAAGCUUUCAGUUUAAAAGAAACAAGGGUAAUCAUGUAAACCCAAUUUCGCUAGCACUAAAAUUUAGCCAACAAUCAAAUUCAUAUUAGGAAAAUAAGUUAAAAUUUCAGAUGGCAGAAAUCCUUACAGUUGGACAGAACUCUAAAACUACAGACAAAACUAUAAAAUACUGAUAUUCAUUAGAGGUACUCCAAAAUUGUUAAAACUUAUCAUAAAGGCAGAUACUGAAGAUGUAAAGAAUCAAUUAGAUCCAUCCACACACGCAUGCAUGCAUGUUACUGAAAAAACAGUUAUUCAUAUGAUGUCAUCUAAAUAAAUCUAGAGGAUGAGAGAUUAAACCUAUGCAACCCAAUUAUUUAGGGGGAAAAAAAACUCUAGUAACAAUUGGCUUUCUAUGGGUCAUUAACACCAACAUUUCCAAAUCAAAUAUUAACCUUUUAAUUUCAAAUUAAACAAAAAAGAUAAUUGCACAACAUUAGCAAAAAAAAUUUUUUUUCAUUUGUCCAAUUCAAGUAUCAUAAUUUUACAUGUUUUACACACAAAAUUGAUAAGGUACUUGCAAAAAGCAAAAUUCAAACUCCAAACCAAAAUUUCAAAAGCAUAGUUACAUAAUUUCCAAAUGAAAACAACCGAAGAAGAACAAAAAUUGCAUGAACCAAAU